UACGGAGGGUGCAAGCGUUGCUCGGAAUUAUUGGGCGUAAAGGGUAGGUAGGUGGUCUCAUUUGUCAGGGGUGAAAGCCUUGGGCUUAACCCGAGAAGUGCCCCUGAAACGGUGAGACUCGAGUACUGGAGAGGGUCGUGGAAUUCCCGGUGUAGCGGUGAAAUGCGUAGAGAUCGGGAGGAACACCAGAGGCGAAGGCGGCGACCUGGACAGUGACUGACACUCAACUACGAAAGCGUGGGGAGCAAACAGG
rnacentral:rRNA from 1 species